UCAUUUGUUUGUUUCUCGGGAGCUCUUGUCUUGUUGAAGUUUGUACCUCUUGAUGAACCCUUUCCUCCCAUUGGGUACUUUUUGAAAUCUCUAGUGAUCAUGGUUAUCUCAUCAUCUUCCAGAUCUAAACCUUUUGUAAUUUUGAGAGCUAAGCUUCUCUUCUUCUUGGGUGUAUCCAUCUUCCUGGUUUGCCUUCUCAGUUCAUAAGCAGUAAGACUUUCA
rnacentral:lncRNA from 1 species